AAAAAUUAAUUGAUCAAACCACAAAAACAAAACGAAAUUAAACCACUUGCCCGACUACCUCGACUCCGUCCUCAAAUACAUAAGACUUAUCGUCGGUUGGAGAAGGCGCAUUCUUUUCUUGCUCUAGCUCAUGGUUGACGAUGAGCUGUCUUUGUUCUGCAACUUCAAUUGCGCGACGUCUUUCCUCUUCAAAAUUUUCACGAAUUUUUUGCAAUUCUUUCUCCAUUUCUUCAACCGGACGAAACACCUUUCCUGAAACUUUACUAUAUUCUUCCAUAUCUAAUUUAAAUGGUUAUUAUUUGAGUACUCACACAAUGUCUUACCAAUAGGUUUUUUAAUUUUCAAAGCUUGAUUAACACGUGCAGGAUUUCUUCUUUCUUCUUGUUUAAACUUUAGUUUUAUCUGUCGACGAUUACGAGUUGGAAACAUAUUAGCAAUUAAAGCAAAAUCAGUUCCCCACUGUGAUAGAGCCUGCCAUGUCAGUAAAUACGAGCGCAAUUCCUCCAUACCUUAUAAAAUUUUUCAGUAUCCAUAGCGUUCCAUUUCUCAGGUUUCUGCCUAUUUCCCCAAGUAGCACUUGUAACCCGACGACUUAAAGAAUUUUCUUCAACGUAUUCGCGUUCCUCUGCUGGUACAAAAUCACGUUCAUGACGGUCGACUUCUAGUGAGGUUUCAUCCAGAACAAUUUGGCCAUUAACAACUCGCGUACGAGGAGUUGCAGAGUAAUUGGAGUUGUUAUUCAAACCAUCAACUUCCAUUUUAUCUGCUAACUGAUCAAGAAUAGACUUUGUUGGGUGAGAGAGACUAUCUUCGAGAGAAGCAGACUCAUCCGUACCCUCUUCUUCCAAACUUCCUACUAUUUCUUCUUUCUCUUUCGGUUCGCUUGAUUCUAGAAGACUGGCACUCAAAGGCUGUUUGAUGGUAGAAUCUAAAGACGCUUCUCGACUAGAGCUUGCAGUACUUGCUCCUUGUUUUUUAAUCCUCUUUGCUCGUUUUUCCUCAAAAAGCAUUUUUUCUAAUUCGAUAAAUCGUUGACUUUUGCGGCCAAUUCCAGGAUCAUCACAUAAAGCAGACAUUUUGGUUUCACUUAUGUUAAUGAUUUUCUCGUCGGUACCCACGUUUUCCAAUAUCAAUUGACUUUUUCUUUUCAAAGAAGAUUCUAUGAUGUUAUUAAAUAAUGCAUUUUAGAUUAACCCUUUAUUUACGUACCUCUAUAUGAACGGCGAGACUUUUUUGUAGCCGGAGAAUCCGCCUUUCCGUCACUAACAGCACUGAGCUGAGAAAGGGGAAUGUUCUCAUCAAAAAACAAAUCUAAUUCCUUCAUAAAUUGCUGUUCGGCUGAAGAGGAUAAAUCGGUUUCAGGCGACAAAUGCUCAAUAGCAUUUAACGGCUGCUCAAGAACCGUUGGCUUAGAAAUUUUAAAAGUAGGAUUUGAAUGCAAAAGUUUUUCAUUUUGUUUCACUGAAUCAUCUUUUCUAUAGGAUGAAGCUGUGGGAUUUUCAGUUGCCUCUUUGUGAACUACUGUUUGCACAACCGGACUAGAAAUAUCAGCAUUGGCAGUAUCACGAGACAGCUGAGCGGAUGUUUCUACUUCGUUUCCUGUGAGGGGUUGAUUUUUUUCUUCAUGAACAACCUCUUUUUGGUCCGAUACUUUCUCUCUACGGGCUGUAAAUUUAGGGGCAAACCUUGACAUUGAUUUUUCUGGUAAAACAUUAGUGGAAAGCCCUACUACUUAAAAAAACGUACUUGUAGGUGAGGUUAAUAUUUGCGAGCUCAUUGAGUCUGUUUAGACUGUAACUUCGACUCAAUUGCAUGAAUUUCAAAAAUUAUGUGGCAGUGCGCAUAUGUUUGUACAAACAUUUGCCUGUUGUCCAUGAACCAGUAAUAUUUUAAUAAAGAGGUUAUAUCCUGGGUAUAACUGUACAACGAAACCAAGCAAGCCCGUCUGAAUAGAUUAAUAUAUAUG
rnacentral:lncRNA from 1 species